rnacentral:rRNA from 1 species
GGCUUCCCGUCCGCUCAGCCGUACUUAAGCCACACGCCGGGAGGUUAGUAGUUGGGUGGGUGACCACCAGCGAAUCCCUUCUGUUGUAUGUU